rnacentral:rRNA from 1 species
AACAAGGUUUCCGUAGGUGA